CUCUCGAUAGCUCAGUUGGUUUAGAGCGCUCGGCUGUAAUUGAAUUCAUGGUACCGAGAGGUCGCUAGUUCGAUUCUGGCUCGAGAGA